GAUGUGAAGUUAAAGAACAUGGGUUCUUGGGCCAGCUUGGCCCAGCGUUCUCAGUCCACCCCAGCCUCCGCUGUCCGCUCGUCUAGCGACAGCUUCGAACAGUUCCGUCGCGCCGCCCGAGAGAAGGAGAGAGAGAAACAGCUAAAAGCACAGGCCGAGCAGGCCAGGAGAGAGCAGGAGAAACUACGGUAAGGGGGAAGGAUGGAGGGAGGGGAAGGGCAGGGAGAUAGUGGAGGAGAGAGAGAAACAGCUAAAAGCACAGGCCGAGCAGGCCAGGAGAGAGCAGGAGAAAUUACGGUAAGGGGGAAGGAUGGAGGGAGGGGAAGGGCAGGGAGAUAGUGGAGGAGAGAGAGAACUGAAAGCACAGGCCGAGCAGGCCAGGAGAGAGCAGGAGAAAUUACGGUAAGGGGGAAGGAUGGAGGGAGGGGAAGGGCAGGGAGAUAGUGGAGGAGAGAGAGAAACAGCUAAAAGCACAGGCCGAGCAGGCCAGGAGAGAGCAGGAGAAAUUACGGUAAGGGGGAAGGAUGGAGGGAGGGGAAGGGCAGGGAGAUAGUGGAGGAGAGAGAGAACUGAAAGCACAAGCCGAGCAGGCCAGGAGAGAGCAGGAGAAACUACGUAGCCGUGACGACGAGGACUCUGUGGAGCAGCAGGGGAGGGGGCGUGUCCAGGAGGACACUCGCCGUCGCCAGGAGCAACUUUCGCCUCAAGCCUCCACGCCCCCCGCCUCAACCCCUCCCGCCGACUCCCCACAGGCCCCUCCCACUCAACAGGCCACACCCCCACCCUCGGCCGCAGCACAGAACGCCAUGGACCAGCAGAGGGAGCUGGCGAGACGCCGCGAGCAGGAAAGGAGGAGGAGAGAGGCGAUGGCGGACACCAUUGACAUCAACUUCCAGAGUGACUUGAUGGCCAUCUUUGAAGAGAACCUUUUCUGAGAGAGAGAUUGAGAAAGGAGGAGAGGGAGAGAAAGAGAUAUGAACUCUACCUUAUCUCACCAUGGCUGGGAUUUCACACACAACACCCCCCCCUCCCUCCCUCUCUUUGAUUAGAGACCCCAGACCAGGAUGUGAGCUCCAGAGACUUGAAGGAGACUGAGGUGAGGUACAGUAAUAAGGUGGAGCCCCCCCCCCCAGCGGUGGGGACCGGGAGUACAACUUCCACUUUUUGCAAUUUCAGAUGCGUUUUUUGUGUCUAACUGCCCGUUUAUCGUUGAUGAUUGGUUGUUGCCGUGGGCAAUGGUGAAACCGGAUACCUAUCGAUAAACAGAUAUUUGAACUCCUCUUGUAUUCUGAAAUGAAACUGAGGGAGGAGGGGAGGACUGAGAACUAUUACCUGAAAAUAAAGAAGAAGAAAAAAGAGGGUUUAAUGGAGAAAGAAGAAGAAGAUGAACACCUGUUCUUCUAACGUGCGAGAGGGAGGGGCGGGCGAGAGGAUGGACAGACUUCUUUCUCUUUGGUUCAUUUCUCUCUUAAUCUAGUAUUUUUCUCUCCCUGUUUUUUGAUGUUGGGUUUUAAGCGGGGUGGGUGAGGAGAUGGGGAGGGAGAAGUGGGCGGGCUGUGUGUGUUAUCAUGUUUGCGUCCCAAAAGGGCACCCUCUUCCCUUCAUAUAGUGCACUACUUGUGUCCAGGGCCCAUGGGGAUCUGAUCAAAAGUGGUGCGCUAUAUAGGGAGUAGGGUGCCAUUUGGGACGUAUCCUCUGAGAUGGGUUCAGUUUCUCUCCGGACAGCAAGAUGAACACCGGGGUCACACCCCAGCACUAUAAAGAAGCACCCUUCCUUCCUUCUCACUCUCCUUGUUCUUUGUGACAUCACUGACUUGACACAACUUGAAAGUGUAAAAGCUUGAACUCCAUUUUUUUCAGUCAUGUCUGAUUCAUUGAUUAUUUCAAGAAAGGAGGCAGAGAGGGAAGGAAGGAGGGAAAGAGGAAGGAUGAGUGAAGAAAGGAGGGAGAGAGGGAAGGAAGAGAGGGAGGGCGGGUUACAUUUUAAUGUGGCUCUUGCCUUACAGCUCUGACCUGUAAAUGAACACACGCCACAGAUUAUACAUAUAUAUAUAUAUAUAUAAAUAGAUGCAUAAAUAUAUAUUAUAUACGAUCAAAAGUCCCUAAAAAUAAUUGGAUUAUGUUGUUGGGAGGGAGAACGGCUUAUCUGCCUUGUGCUCAAUUCCCUUUUGGUUUUUUAGAGAAUUGACUGUAAAAAAAAAUAAACAAAAAAAUUACAUUUUUUAUGAUGCUAUAAAAAAUAGUUUUGUCUUGUUCAUAACCUCCUUUCUCUCAUCCUGUUUUUCUCUGUAUCAAGUUCAGAUAUUCAAGAGUUUAAAGGCCUCUGUUUUUAUUUAAAUACCAAAUAAUUUCUGGGUAACAAUUAGGUAUGUUACUGUGAUUGUUUUCAGUUAAAAUGGCCAAAAAUAAACAAAAAUAGAUUCUUAGCAAAGAGUAAUUUUUCAAGCAAGAAUUUUGCUAGGACUGGGAGUGGUCUGAGUGGGGAGGGGGAAACUGAAAAGUAGCUGUUAAUGACAGAGGUUUGGAACUCUUUCUUAUUGGUCUAUCAACGAAUUUAUCGCUUGGUGAUGUCACCAGGCAGGCCAAAACUCCAUCCCACCAAAACAGGCUGAUUUUCUUUUCAAACAGCUCUUACACUAAAAGGGCAUUAUCAUCAUUUUCAUAAUUUCACAGUAUUAUUCCAACCUUAUAGUGUGGAAAUAUAAAUAAAACACAGGAAAAUCAUGUGUUUGGCUGCACUGGCCUAUAACUACGUAACUUUGUUCUACUGUUCUGUAGCUACAUCCACCUGCUACUACACUUCCUUUCUUUUCUUCGUUAGCUUCUUACUCAUUUUCGUUUUUAUUCCCUUCCAUUUGUUAAUCUCUCUCUCCUGUCAUCAUCAUCUUCCUCUACCAUCCGUAUCAUGGCUUUUAUUUCGUUUUUAUUCCCUUCCUGUUUUUUGUAUAAAAAAAAAAAAAUGCUAUGUUUUUAGUUUCUGUGGUAACAGUCGGGGUUGUUGUCAUGUGCCAUAGCUGUAAGUGUUCUGGGGGCGUGGCCUGCGGUGUUGUCAUGUCCAGAUAUACAUCAAACCCCUCUAUACAGCUCUACAUACACUAUCUGUUCCUUUUAUUCUUUUUGGGAUGUUUUUAUUUAAUUUUGCCCCUUUUUCAUAUUUGACGGUUGUUUGUUUUGUUAUGUUUCUUGUCAUUGUUUUGUUUUGAAUCACCGGUUGGUAUGUUGGUGAGUGAGGUGUUAAGGUAGAUGGAUACAUUCUGUUCUGAUUAUGGAGUAAAACAUCUCUUUUUUAAAAAAAAAAGAAAAGUAUUAAAAUGAUCUAAAAAAAUGACACUGUGUUGUGUUUGGUUGGCUGGAGUCACUGAGUGGGACAUGCGUCGGUCGACACAAAGAAUUACCUUGUAACCGUCUUUCCUUGAUUCUUCGCAUUCCCAUUGGAGGAGAAGGUCUGAGGGGAGGGACCUUGGACCUUCUCCUUCAAUACAGUUGAGAAGGAGGUGAGGACAUAGGAUGUGAGGAAUCGAGGAAAUGUGACUUGAGAGAGAGCCCUAUAAUGAGGUUCAGUAUAAUGGGUAUUUACCCUGCAGUUCUGGUGGUACCCAGCAGAGGCUGUGUGUUUUGUUAGAGGUCAAAGUUAUUUUGCCUACUCCCUUCAUAGUGCACUACUUGUGUCCAGGGCCCAUAGGGAUCUGGUCAAAGCUAG
ensembl:lncRNA